rnacentral:lncRNA from 1 species
GUCACUUCUCAGCCUGAUAAACUCAAUAGUGAAGCCUCGGUAGGCUGUCUAAGAGAGAAAUGUGAAAAGAUCAGGGUGGGGAUGACAAGACCAGAUGUUUUAACCCCAGGAUAAAUGAUAUCACUGAGAAAUCCCAUGGCAUCUGAUAAAGGAUUGAAAGGGGGGGUCAAAUGCCCCCAAAUUUGGUAUAAAUAAUAGAGCAAAUGAACAGACAUUCAGCCAGCUGAUAAUGAUGCCCUCAUGCUUAGAGCCUGACUAGGACGUGGACUGACAUCCCAACACUUUUCAUCAUUUGCUGAUCCUCUGCAUUUUCCUCACCGCUCUCAAACUCUACAGCCACAUCUUGACCCUGGUGAGAGCUGCAACUUCUUCCUACUCUCUCUUCUCUGGAGGCUGUCAGCUCCACCCCAGAAGAAGCCUACCUAAAUUCCUGAUCUGAUCACCAUCGUCUAAGUGAGUGUGUGUCUUCUGGGCUUAAAGCCUAAGGCUUAAGACUUUUGAUCUGACACUUGAACUUAGCAUGCAGAGGGAAAGUCUGUCAUUAGCCUGUCAUGAUUGUGUUUGCAGUGCUUAAAAUUAAUUAAUCUAGAAUUGUUUGCUGUGAAUUAAUUAAUCUAGAAUUGUUUGUUAUGAAUUGAUUAUGUCUGUUGCAGUGCCUAGCAUUAAGGAUUGUCGUUUUCUUGAUUAAGAACCUAUAGAGUGAAAUUGUAUUGAGUGAUUUUGAGUGAAGAAAGCAUUGAAAAGGGCAGAAGCGCAGGAACAUUCUGUAUUUUCCCCCCUGGACUGCAUAAGUUGCACCUUUUGCCCAUUGAGACAGCCACUGAGCCAGAACCCCAGCCCCUUUUUAGUAAUUUUUGAUUUUGUCACUUACACUUGUUUUUCUCUGCAUUUCCAGUUUUGUCCUUUCUUGGAGGAGAGUUGGUUUGGGUUGUUGUUUUUCUUAUCACUUCUACAUACAUGUGUGUCCCCAUUAAGAAAUGUAUUUCUUGGGGCUGGGGUUGUGGCUCAGUGGUAGAGCACUUGCCUAGCAUACAUGAUGCACUUGGUUCAAUCCUUGGCACCACAUUAAAAAAAAAAACAAAACAAAAAAACUAAAUAAACAAAAUAAAGAUAUUGUGUCCAUCGAGAACUAAAAAAAAUUUUUUUUAAAAAAGAAAUCUAUUUUUAAGAGUUUUUUAAAUUAUAUUUUUUAUUUUUUAUAUUUUGCCUUCAUUUAAAAAAAUAUGAUGUAAAGAGCAGUGCUAUCAAAUUCUCCAGAGAAAAUUUGUCUUGAGUUCCAAGUCUUUAUUGUAAGUGUCUUCUAUGGUAUACAAAGGAAAAUAAAAGUGAAAUAUAAUUACAAAGUAAAAAGACAGGUGAAAUAUAAUAUGGCUGUUCUCUUUCAGUCAGUUUUGUGACUGUUACUUCUUAAUCUAUGAAUUUGGACUGUGGUAGCUCAUGUUUUGCUUUGUGAACAUGUAUUAUGAUUUCUGCACUUUCCUACAUGUACUUAAAUAUACAGGUUUCUGAAAAAUUCCUUGGAAGAUUUUAAAAAAACACCUCCUCUUAGCACAAAACUACUGUAAUAAACAGCUGAUUGCCUCAGAAGCCAUUACAAGUUUUACUGUUUACAACCUGUCCUUUAGUGUAGACAUCAAGUAAACUCAGUGCUGUUUAGUAGUAUUAAAGAAAAUAUUGAAUGCUCUCCUCAUAAUAACACUGGAGAUUUUUCAAAGUGAGUUGGUAUUAGGGAGCUUUUGGUGAUCUUGACUGGGAGUGAGAUGAUGAAAAUGGGUGUUUUCUAAAUUUCUUAGAAAUGGCUAGCCAAAUGGUUAGUAGAAAGAAGAGACCAGAGGCAGAGAUACACAAUGUGAAAUGAUGGAAUGCCUGAAUUAGACUCAAAGUCAAAAUUACUACCAGAGAAGCCAGGCCUAUGUGUGGGGGAGCAGUCGCAGAAGAUUGGUGUGGCUCUGCAGAGGAAUGUUGGAAGGUGGUAGUCCAGGAGGCCCUCUCUGCUUUGCUUGCCUUUUUUUCCUUCUGUGAGAUUUUAUGUGCAUAGGAUUGGUAUUUGGCAGAGAGAGAGAGAGAAGUAGGAGAGAAGCAGUGUAAGUGGAAAGGUAAAACUGGAACAGGAGGAGAAAAUAAGAGAGACAAAAACCUACCAAGUAAUAACAGCUAUAUAAUAUAUAUGAUGCUUUAUGGUGUAAUGAAAGAUAUAAAACUUGAAGUCUGACCACCAGUAGUUCAAAUCUAGAAAGUCUAUUUCCUAAUUUUCUGACUUUAAACAAAUUACUUAAUUUUUCCAAACUUCACUUUUUUUUUUCUAAAUCUGUGAACAUAGAUGUGAUUUUCUAUAAAUAAAUGGUUCAAUUAAUACCAGAUUUAUUGUGUGGAACUUGAAUUACUUAUAGUUUGCUAUCACAUUCU